AGUAGGGUGCCCAUCAAGAGGUGUAUUUGGAAAUACCCAAUACGGGCACUUGGACGCGCGAUGCGAGCGCGAAAGAACUCGAAAAGUCCUCACUUGGGGAAUGCUCUAAUUAUGUAAUCUCAUGGAUACUCCCUGGACUUAAGCAUAUCAUUAAGGAAGAAAAGAAACUAACUAGGAUUCCGUUAGUAGUGCGAAUGAACUCGGAGGAGCUCCGAAUGGUAAAGCCUAAGUGCUGUUGUAAUGUAGCCUCCGAAACAUCUGGAAAGGAUGACCCACAGUGGGUGAUAGUCCCCAGAGGAGGAUGUAAAGGAAUAGAGUAGUGCUGCUUGGUAGUGCAGUAUGAAGAGGAGGUAGAAACUUCUAAAGCUAAAUACAGACGGAUACCGAUAGAGAAGAAGUAGUGCGAACGAAAGUUGAAAAGAUCUCAUCUAGAGAAUGAAAAGUGA
rnacentral:rRNA from 1 species